rnacentral:misc_RNA from 1 species
GAUGAAGAACGUAGCAAAAUGCGAUACUUGGUGUGAAUUGCAGAAUCCCGUGAACCAUCGAGUUUUUGAACGCAAGUUGCGCCCGAAGCCUUUUGGCCGAGGGCACGUCUGCCUGGGCGUCACGCAUCGCGUCGCCCCCCACAAUUCUCCGUAAAGGGAACGUGUGUUUUGGGGGCGGAUAUUGGUCUCCCGUGCUCAUGGCGUGGUUGGCCGAAAUAGGAGUCCUUUCGAUGGACGCACGAACUAGUGGUGGUCGUAAAAACCCUCGUCUUUUGUUUCGUGCUGUUGCUCGCAAGGCAAACUCUUUAAAAACCCCAAUGUGUCGUCUCUUGACGACGCUUCGACCGCGACCCCAGGUCAGGCGGGACUACCCGCUGAGUUUAAGCAUAUCAAUAAGCGGAGGA